CGGACCUGCUUGGUGUGCUCCAAAUUAAGAUAGCAGCGAAGAAAAGGCUGAUGGGGUAUCGCAGAAAACGGAGCGCCCUUGGGGCUGUAGCCUAAGCGUCUCUCCUCCCCUCCUCACGCCGAGGACUAUGUAGGGACUACAAGGGGACGCCCGGACGGACGUGUGGGAAUUCAGCAUUCCUCCAGCCCCUUUCCUCCUGUCCCCUGCCCCCAAUCUCGCCCGCAGCUGCUUGCACUGGGGAAGUCCCCUAGCCUUGAUCGGACCUGUCCUAGAAGCCUCAACUACAGAGCCCAGGAAGGUCUGCUCUGCCUGGGAAAAGGACAGCUAGAGACAGCUGGGCCCCACCACGACCUGGUCGGUUCCUCAGCCAAGCUAGAGGCCUGGGCCAGGUGGAGGAUGCGGUGACUGGUAGCCUGUCCCUAGCCUUCAUGGUGCACCCAGGCCCAGAGCCUGGGCCACACAAACUUCCCAGAACACAUGUCAGGUCCCUGGCGCAAGGACCC
rnacentral:lncRNA from 1 species